CUACGGGUGGCACCAGUGGGGAAUCUUAGACAAUGGGGGAAACCCUGAUCUAGCCAUGCCGCGUGAGUGAUGAAGGCCUUAGGGUUGUAAAGCUCUUUCAGCUGGGAAGAUAAUGACGGUACCAGCAGAAGAAGCCCCGGCUAACUCCGUGCCAGCAGCCGCGGUAAUACGGAGGGGGCUAGCGUUGUUCGGAAUUACUGGGCGUAAAGCGCACGUAGGCGGAUUGGAAAGUUGGGGGUGAAAUCCCGGGGCUCAACCCCGGAACUGCCUUCAAAACUCCCAGUCUUGAGUUCGAGAGAGGUGAGUGGAAUUCCGAGUGUAGAGGUGAAAUUCGUAGAUAUUCGGGGGAACACCAGUGGCGAAGGCGGCUCACUGGCUCGAUACUGACGCUGAGGUGCGAAAGCGUGGGGAGCAAACAGGAUUAGAUACCCCGGUAGUC
rnacentral:rRNA from 1 species